CGAAAUGCGAUAAGUAAUGUGAAUUGCAGAAUUCAGUGAAUCAUCCAAUCUUUGAACGCACAUUGCGCCCCCUGGUAUUCCGGGGGGCAUGCCUGUUCGAGCGUCAUUUCACCACUCAAGCCUCGCUUGGUAUUGGGCGACGCGGUCCGCCGCGCGCCUCAAAUCGACCGGCUGGGUCUUUCGUCCCCUCAGCGUUGUGGAAACUAUUCGCUAAAGGGUGCCGCGGGAGGCCACGCCGUAAAACAACCCCAUUUCUAAGGUUGACCUCGGAUCAGGUAGGGAUACCCGCUGAACUUAAGC
rnacentral:misc_RNA from 1 species